ACAGCACUCCGGAGAAACCCGUCAGUCGGGUGCCGAAGGGGCAAUACGCGGUUAUGUUGCCGUGUAAAUCUCUCAGGCAAAAGGACAGAGUU
rnacentral:ncRNA from 1 species